GUGGGGAAUCUUGCGCAAUGGGCGAAAGCCUGACGCAGCCAUGCCGCGUGAAUGAUGAAGGUCUUAGGAUUGUAAAAUUCUUUCACCGGGGACGAUAAUGACGGUACCCGGAGAAGAAGCUCCGGCUAACUUCGUGCCAGCAGCCGCGGUAAUACGAAGGGGGCUAGCGUUGCUCGGAAUUACUGGGCGUAAAGGGCGCGUAGGCGGACAGCUUAGUCAGAGGUGAAAGCCCAGGGCUCAACCUUGGAAUUGCCUUUGAUACUGGCUGUCUUGAGUUUGGGAGAGGUGAGUGGAACUCCGAGUGUAGAGGUGAAAUUCGUAGAUAUUCGGAAGAACACCAGUGGCGAAGGCGACUCACUGGCCCAAUACUGACGCCGAGGCGCGAAAGCGUGGGGAGCAAACAGGAUUAGAAACCCUAGUAGUCC
rnacentral:rRNA from 1 species